ACUAUGUGUUGUUGGGUAGGGGAGCGUUCUGUAAGCCUGUGAAGGUGGCCUGUGAGGGUUGCUGGAGGUAUCAGAAGUGCGAAUGCUGACAUAAGUAACGAUAAAGCGGGUGAAAAGCCCGCUCGCCGGAAGACCAAGGGUUCCUGUCCAACGUUAAUCGGGGCAGGGUGAGUCGACCCCUAAGGCGAGGCCGAAAGGCGUAGUCGAUGGGAAACGGGUUAAUAUUCCCGUACUUGGUGUUACUGCGAAGGGGGGACGGAGAAGGCUAUGUUGGCCGGGCGACGGUUGUCCCGGUUUAAGCGUGUAGGUGUGUGUUCCAGGUAAAUCCGGUUCACUUUAACACUGAGGCGUGAUGACGAGGCACUACGGUGCUGAAGCAACAAAUGCCCUGCUUCCAGGAAAAGCCUCUAAGCAUCAGGUAACAUCAAAUCGUACCCCAAACCGACACAGGUGGUCAGGUAGAGAAUACCAAGGCGCUUGAGAGAACUCGGGUGAAGGAACUAGGCAAAAUGGUGCCGUAACUUCGGGAGAAGGCACGCUGACAUGUAGGUGAAGUGAUUUACUCAUGGAGCUGAAGUCAGUCGAAGAUACCAGCUGGCUGCAACUGUUUAUUAAAAACACAGCACUGUGCAAACACGAAAGUGGACGUAUACGGUGUGACGCCUGCCCGGUGCCGGAAGGUUAAUUGAUGGGGUCAGCGCAAGCGAAGCUCCUGAUCGAAGCCCCGGUAAACGGCGGCCGUAACUAUAACGGUCCUAAGGUAGCGAAAUUCCUUGUCGGGUAAGUUCCGACCUGCACGAAUGGCGUAAUGAUGGCCAGGCUGUCUCCACCCGAGACUCAGUGAAAUUGAACUCGCUGUGAAGAUGCAGUGUACCCGCGGCAAGACGGAAAGACCCCGUGAACCUUUACUAUAGCUUGACACUGAACAUUGAGCCUUGAUGUGUAGGAUAGGUGGGAGGCUUUGAAGUGUGGACGCCAGUCUGCAUGGAGCCGACCUUGAAAUACCACCCUUUAAUGUUUGAUGUUCUAACGUGGACCCGUAAUCCGGGUUGCGGACAGUGUCUGGUGGGUAGUUUGACUGGGGCGGUCUCCUCCUAAAGAGUAACGGAGGAGCACGAAGGUUGGCUAAUCCUGGUCGGACAUCAGGAGGUUAGUGCAAUGGCAUAAGCCAGCUUGACUGCGAGCGUGACGGCGCGAGCAGGUGCGAAAGCAGGUCAUAGUGAUCCGGUGGUUCUGAAUGGAAGGGCCAUCGCUCAACGGAUAAAAGGUACUCCGGGGAUAACAGGCUGAUACCGCCCAAGAGUUCAUAUCGACGGCGGUGUUUGGCACCUCGAUGUCGGCUCAUCACAUCCUGGGGCUGAAGUAGGUCCCAAGGGUAUGGCUGUUCGCCAUUUAAAGUGGUACGCGAGCUGGGUUUAGAACGUCGUGAGACAGUUCGGUCCCUAUCUGCCGUGGGCGCUGGAGAACUGAGGGGGGCUGCUCCUAGUACGAGAGGACCGGAGUGGACGCAUCACUGGUGUUCGGGUUGUCAUGCCAAUGGCACUGCCCGGUAGCUAAAUGCGGAAGAGAUAAGUGCUGAAAGCAUCUAAGCACGAAACUUGCCCCGAGA
rnacentral:rRNA from 1 species